rnacentral:rRNA from 1 species
UACGGGGGGGGCAAGCGUUGUUCGGAAUUACUGGGCGUAAAGGGUUCGUAGGUGGCCAACUCAGUCAGACGUGAAAUCCCUCAGCUCAACUGGGGAACUGCGUCUGAUACUAGAUGGCUCGAGUGCAGGAGAGGAACGCGGAAUUCCAGGUGUAGCGGUGAAAUGCGUAGAUAUCUGGAGGAACACCGGUGGCGAAGGCGGCGUUCUGGACUGCAACUGACACUGAGGAACGAAAGCGUGGGGAGCGAUCCGG